rnacentral:rRNA from 1 species
UAUUUUCCUUUUUUUCCCUCAGCCGCGGUAAUACGUAGGUGGCGAGCGUUGUCCGGAAUUAUUGGGCGUAAAGAGCAUGUAGGCGGCUUAAUAAGUCGAGCGUGAAAAUGCGGGGCUCAACCCCGUAUGGCGCUGGAAACUGUUAGGCUUGAGUGCAGGAGAGGAAAGGGGAAUUCCCAGUGUAGCGGUGAAAUGCGUAGAUAUUGGGAGGAACACCAGUGGCGAAGGCGCCUUUCUGGACUGUGUCUGACGCUGAGAUGCGAAAGCCAGGGUAGCGAACGGG